rnacentral:lncRNA from 1 species
AGGCAUCUUGAAUUUAGGGCCCUUUAGUUUCGCAUCUGGACCUUCGAUAUUCACAUCAGGAACAUCAAUGUCCACCUUGGGUCCUGAGACGUCAAGGUCAGCCUUGGGCAGGUUCACAUCCACAUCUGGGCCCUCUCCUUUGAAGCCAGGCAUGCUGAACUUGGGCAUUUUCACCUUGGGCAUCUUCAGGCUGGGCAUGCUGAACUUGGGCAUUUUCAUCUUGGGUAUUUUCAGGCUCCAGUCCAGGCCUUGGCC